rnacentral:rRNA from 1 species
GAUGAACGCUGGCGGCGUGCCUAAUACAUGCAAGUCGAGCGAACAGACGAGGAGCUUGCUCCUCCGACGUUAGCGGCGGAAGGGUGAGUAACACGUGGAUAACCUACCUAUAAGACUGGGAUAAAUUCGGGAAACCGGAGCUAAUACCGGAUAAUAUAUUGAACCGCAUGGUUCAAUAGUGAAAGACGGUUUUGCUGUCACUUAUAGAUGGAUCCGCGCCGCAUUAGCUAGUUGGUAAGGUAACGGAUUACCAAGGCAACGAUGCGUAGCCGACCUGAGAGGGUGAUCGGCCACACUGGAACUGAGACACGGUCCAGACUCCUACGGGAGGCAGCAGUAGGGAAUCUUCCGCAAGGGGCGAAAGACUGACGGAGCAACGCCGCGUGAGUGAUGAAGGUCUUCGGAUCGUAAAACUCUGUUAUUAGGGAAGAACAAAUGUGUAAGUAACUAUGCACGUCUUGACGGUACCUAAUCAGAAAGCCACGGCUAACUACG